AGACAUGUUUUCAAGCAUAUAAUCUGAGGAGCUGUGAAUCCCUUAGGAGCAACGUACCCAAUGAUGGCUGAAAUCCUAUGUAAUGCUGGCAAAAGCCUGCCAGUUUCCCAUCUUCUUAGAGUCGCGAGUGUAUCAAUCCAGGAGACCGGUCCAUCAAGUUCCUGAUGAUCGUAGCAGAUCUCUUAAAAUAAAUUAGAACGGGAGGGUAAAAAUGAUUGCAGAACAUAAAAAGAAAUAUUUGCAUCGAACAAUUCCAUUUCGUUUUUGUUCAAUUGUCCAUAAUUAUCCAAUAACAGCUCAUGAGAAGCUGGGAAAAAUGCAAUCCCAGAAUUGAAUGUUUAACGCUCUUUUCAAGUCAGUUGAUUUUGAUGAAUGCAUUGUUUUCUGUUUCAUAAAUAGGCCUCUUAUUAAUUCCUUUUAAAUAAAUAAAUUAUUUUUAUUUGCAA